rnacentral:rRNA from 1 species
UACGUAGGGCGCAAGCGUUGUCCGGAAUUAUUGGGCGUAAAGAGCUCGUAGGCGGUCCGUUACGUCGGGAGUGAAAACCCGGGGCUCAACCCCGGGCUUGCUUUCGAUACGGGCAGACUAGAGUAUGGCAGGGGAGACUGGAAUUCCUGGUGUAGCGGUGAAAUGCGCAGAUAUCAGGAGGAACACCGGUGGCGAAGGCGGGUCUCUGGGCCAUUACUGACGCUGAGGAGCGAAAGCGUGGGGAGCGAACGGG